UACGAAGGAUGCGAGCGUUAUCCGGAUUUAUUGGGCUUAAAGGGAUCGUAGGCGGUCUUAUAAGUCAGUGGUGAAAUCCUAUCGCUUAACGAUAGACGUGCCAUUGAUACUGUAGGACUUGAGUACAGAUGCCGUUGGCGGAAUGUGUCAUGUAGCGGUGAAAUGCGUAGAUAUGACACAGAACACCGAUUGCGAAGGCAGCUGACGGAACUGUAACUGACGCUGAGGCUCGAAAGCGUGGGGAUCAAACAGG
rnacentral:rRNA from 1 species